GACGCGACAAAAUAACCUCCAAACGCUGUUCCAAGUCUUCUUCACCGUGGUAUCUGUAAAAAAAUUAAUAUUUAUGUGACUGUGUGAUUGUGCAGAAAUUCAACUUAAAUUUCGUGUAAGUAGAUGUACGAGUACUACUUACAACUCCAACAAGAAGUUAUCAGUUAACUACAAACAAUGAACAGGUAUGUGUAAGGAAGGUACAUCUUCUGUAGUUGAAGAAACGCGAAAAACUAGAAAAUAAAUGAGGGAGAAUCACAACUGAAUUAUCACAGGAAAUAGAAUCAUGCAGCGCAGUAAACAGCAAUUACUGCUGGCCAGCUGGACCAAUGGCAGACGCCCGUUCUGUGACGUCAUCGCCCAGGCAAAGCUCUACGGAGACUUCCGAAUGCUGACGAAAACAACCGAACGUUGCCGAUUCCCAUAUCACUAAAGUUAUCACGACUUGUAAAAGUUUCUUCAAUUUUUAGUUCACAUAGUCUUCGAUUUCAGAUUGCAAUUUCUUCAAUUGUAACAAGUCGUUUGUAAGAAUAUUGAUCAUUUAUAAUGAUAUGAAAUUAAACUCUCUAUGAAGUGUUACAAAAAAUUCUCAAUACAGAAAUGAUGUAGGCCUAAAUGAUCAAUUUAAUGACGUUAAAAACUGGAAAAAUCUAAGAGGAGUCGUGUUUCUACUCAGUAUUAUCAUGGAGAAAAGAUAGCAUAAGAUCUCUCAUGAAGAGAUCCCAUGUUAUAGGUUCGAAAAUAUCCCAUGCAUGAUAUAGGACGUUUAUGUUCCAAAUUUCUAGCCGAUUUUUGAUAACUCAAGCCGACCACUGUCUAUUAUUAUGCAUUGUUUUGGUCGAGUGAGAAUGAAAUAACGGCACAAUAUGAGUUUCACAUAGUACUAGGACUAUCGGCUUGAGUUAACAGAGAAAUUUGGAAAACAAAAAGCCAUUUACUAUAGGAUAUUUUCUUAUGUUAUAUUUUCUCUAUUGUAUUAUACAAAGGCGAAUAAUUUGGGUACCAGUAUCUUUC